AGAGUUUGAUCCUGGCUCAGAACGAACGCUGGCGGCAUGCCUAACACAUGCAAGUCGAACGCUCGUCUUCGGACGGGAGUGGCGCACGGGUGAGUAGCGCGUGGGAACCUGCCCCGAGGUGGGGGAUAACCGAUGGAAACGUCGGCUAAUACCGCAUACGUCCUAAGGGAGAAAGAUUUAUCGCCUUGGGAGGGGCCCGC
rnacentral:rRNA from 1 species